rnacentral:rRNA from 1 species
UACAGAGGUCCCAAGCGUUGUUCGGAUUCAUUGGGCGUAAAGGGUGCGUAGGUGGCGCCGUAAGUGGGGUGUGAAAUUUCGGAGCUUAACUCCGAAACUGCAUUCCAUACUGCGGUGUUUGAGGACUGGAGAGGAGACUGGAAUUCAUGGUGUAGCAGUGAAAUGCGUAGAGAUCAUGAGGAAGACCAGUGGCGAAGGCGGGUCUCUGGACAGUUCCUGACACUGAGGCACGAAGGCUAGGGGAGCGAACGGG